CCUACGGGUGGCAGCAGUGAGGAAUAUUGGUCAAUGGCCGCAGGGCUGAACCAGCCAAGUCGCGUGAGGGAUGACGGUCCUAUGGAUUGUAAACCUCUUUUGUCAGGGAGCAAAGGGCGCCACGUGUGGCGUUUUGCGAGUACCUGAAGAAAAAGCAUCGGCUAACUCCGUGCCAUCAGCCGCGGUAGUACGGGGGAUGCGAGCGUUAUCCGGAUUUAUUGGGUUUAAAGGGUGCGCAGGCGGAAUGUCAAGUCAGCGGUAAAAUUUCGGGGCUCAACCCCGUCGUGCCGUUGAAACUGGGAGGCUUGAGUGUGGUUGAGGCAGGCGGAAUGCGUGGUGUAGCGGUGGAAUGCUUAGAUAUCACGCAGAACCCCGAGUGCGAAGGCAGCCUGCCAAGCCAUGACUGACGCUGAUGCACGAAAGCGUGGGGAUCAAACAGGAUUAGAUACCCUGGUAGUC
rnacentral:rRNA from 1 species